ensembl:lncRNA
AUUUUAAUCUGUGGACAGCAGAAAAAAAAUAGCAUGUUCACAGUCAGAAUGUGGAAGGUGAGCGAGGUAGAAGGUCUCUCCGAGAACAGAGGAACGAGGGAAUGGAAGGUGAGCGAGGUAGGUCUCUCCUAGAACAGAGGAAUGAGUCCCUGCUGAGGACCCUUGCAUGUCUGUGUGCAAUGUCUCUGUCUGUGUUAGCGUAGUUGUGACUCUCAAUGUCUGCGCAACAAAAUGUCUCUGUGAAGUUGAAAGUGCUCCACUGUUCAGUGUGUGUGUGUGUGUGGUGUGUGUUUCUGUCCUCGUGUCUGUGUAUCACAGGAGGAGCACACACCUCUAAAUGCGUCCCUGGCAUUGUAACAUUUAAUGUGUCAUUUAAAUCCGUGAGGGAUUAUAGCUCUGCUGUCAAAAGGAGCAAAAAAGCUCCUUGAAUCCAUUUGUUUUUUAAAGGACCAUCUCAGCCGGAUGGAUAGUCGGUGGGCAGCGGUGGUGAUUUGGAGCCUGGGUCAUGCUAAGAGUCCAGAGGAAAGCGUGGCACGGAACAAGUCUGUCCUAGAUUAAGAGCCUGCUCUAAUCCUCCAUUUCUGCGCACACAUUGGGUUUCCCUCAAUCUCAGCCUGACCGUCCUAAUGGGAGAACUAAAGCUGGAGGCCACAUAAUCACAACGUUAAAAGCCGCGAGAGAGGCAGAGAAAGAGAUACAGAGAGAGACAGGGAAAUAGUAAAUAAAAGAGUGUGUGUGAGAGAUGAACAGCUUGAUUGGGUUCAGUCCAGGUUGCAAAAGUCAUGUAACGUCCCCAGUGGAAAACAUUCCCGCAGUGUGAGGUGCAGUCAGGGUCCUGUUUGUCUGGACAACACCACCCCGGGGGCCUGGGAGUUUGUGGGCUCCUUGUCCAGGUACAGGCUGAAGUGCUGGAUGCUGCAGGAGCCUCUCGCUGGCCAGGGACAGGUUCUUAUCCCAGUUGGGUGGGUAGCCUGUGUGCCUCUCCACGAUUUCCUUACAUAGCUGUCAAUCACAAAGAACACAACUUGUAUACAAUGACCAUAACAAGCACCACUGUACAAAUCUUGACCAUAUACUGUAUGUGAUUAUGGUUAAUGCUCAUACACCCAUUUGUUUGCUAUGGGAGGACUGACUCUCUGUGUAGGAUAGCUCAAACAGGCGAGCUUUCUCCUCUCCCUGGAUCCUCUCAGCCAGGUCAAACAGGCGAGCUUUCUCCUCUCCCUGGAUCCUCUCAGCCAGGUCAAACAGGCGAGCUUUCUCCUCUCCCUGGAUCCUCUCAGCCAGGUCAAACAGGCCAGCUUUCUCCUCUCCCUGGAUCCUCUCAGCCAGGUCAAACAGACCAGCUUUCUCCUCUUCCUGGAUCCUCUCAGCCAGGUCAAACAGGCCAGCUUUCUCCUCUCCCUGGAUCCUCUCAGCCAGGUCAAACAGAAAGAAAGCCGUCUUCAUCCUGAAACAAAGAGACCAUAUCACAGGCUCAGAGCUAAGUUCUGGAUGGAUGAACUGUGGAGAUUUAUCCACAGAGAUGCACUAGGAGAAUAUAGUGAUUUAUGUAGAUGCUAG